GGGACAGUGAAGCAAAUGUUCUUGACACCCCGGGGCAAAUGGAGGUAUUCUCCUGGUCAGCGUCAGGAACCAUCCUAACUGAGGCCUGGGCUUCCUCUUUUCCUUCGGUUGCUGUGUGUGUGCCGGACACCUGUGGCAGGACUAACCCUAUGGCUUUUCUGUCCAACGUGCUGUAUGCCUGCAGGUCAUAUUUAUCUGCCUGUCAGAACUGUGAGAGCACUGGAUGG